GAACGAAAAUCCGUUGGUUUCGCAAGACCGUGAGGGUUCGACUCCCUCUAUCCCCAACG
rnacentral:tRNA from 1 species